rnacentral:tRNA from 1 species
GCGGGGGUGCCGGAGUGGCCAAACGGGCAAGGUUGAGGGCCUUGUGGCUUAGUGCCUGCGCGUGUUCGAACCACGUCCCCCGCA